AGUGCACAGGAGCAAGGAGUGGCCUGGGUGCAUGUGCCCAGCGCCUCUGUGUGGUGUCUUCUCCUUCUACCGUCUCGUGACCCCUGGGUCUCUGCAGACCUGCUUUCCACCCAAGAGGAAGAGAAAAGGGCUGAGCAUAGGUGAAGGAGAACUCCAGGUCCAGGUGGGCUUUUUCCUUGAAGCCUGAGACUUAUGAUGCCAGGUGCCUUGACAAAGCUUCCAGGAAAUCCUCUUAUGAGACAGAACCCAGCUCCUCCUGUAGAAGCUGAAAUUCCAGACACUGGACUUGCCAGUCUCCCUUGCCACUAGAUAUGGACACGUGAUCAAGAUUCCACCAAUCAGAUGGUCUUUGAAUCUGCUAGUGACAUAAAGAAAGGAACAUGCCAAAUCCAUUCUGGCAGAUUGAAGACACAAUGGCAGCUACAUCCAGUUCCCAGAAGCAGCAGGGCCAGUGGUUCUAGCAUCGGCAUCCAAGAACACUUGCUGAUGGUGCAGAUGGUGUGAGCUGCAGUGUCCAGGUGCAGUAUGGUUGCUAUGGUGUCCUCAAUGAAUGAAUCCUGCAGUGGAAUUUACAGUGUUGUUC